rnacentral:rRNA from 1 species
UUUGUAGGUGGCUUGCUAAGUCAGACGUGAAAUCCCUCAGCUUAACUGGGGAACUGCGUCUGAUACUGGUGAGCUUGAGUGCAGGAGAGGAACGCGGAGUUCCAGGUGUAGCGGUGAAAUGCGUAGAUAUCUGGAGGAACACCGGUGGCGAAGGCGGCGUUCUGGACUGCAACUGACACUGAGAAACGAAAGCCAGGGGAGCAAACG